UGUUUUUGGGCUGCUUUGUGCAAACUUUCACCUUCAUUCUAGUGCAACGCAAGGUUAAGCUUUUGCUGCCUGUAAGGAGCAUAGCUGGGUACGAAGACGGCAAGAGAGAGCAGAGGAAGAUGGGAGGAUGUGACCUGUCCAGAGUAACUUUACUGGAGCCCGGAAUUUUGUGAAUGUUGAAGAUCGACUGAAAAAGAGCAUAAGAAGUCUUCAGCCAGAGCCUUUAAACUCCUGGAUAUAAAUUGUCUGGAUUGCUGGUUAAAGAUUCUGAUUGUAAGAGAUGGUGUUUAACAUCCUUAUCAAUUAAUUAUUACUGGAAAAUGAAGUAUUUAAUCAGCAUUGAUCUGUUGUAAGGCUACAUCACUGGCAUUAGCUGAAACACAGAACAGAAGUGUUUAUUGAACAUAGUUGUCUUUCUUGCAGUAUUAUUGACAAUGUUAUCAUUUCCAUAGUGGUAAUGGACCAGUAGCUGUUGGUUAGAUACUCUUUGUUACAAUACACUUUAUAAACUUCAUUUUAUUGUCCUUAGCUUUAUUGACCAUUGAUUUCUUCAGUUGUCCUUUUGCUUCCCUUAUUAAUUUUGUGUCAUUCCGGGGUUCUAGUGUAUUGAUGCCAACUUUCUCUCUUUUACAUUUGAUAUUUAUUGGCAUUUCCCCCUGUUUAUAACUACUUUCACUCCCCCAUCAUGCCACAAUGAGAUUGCUUCGUCAAGGUUUUAUUGCAAUUAUCAGCCUUGUGUUCUUCAUUAUGCUGCAUGUGAUAUACCCAAGUAAGAUUGCAAGGCUUCUGCCCUUCAGCACUAUGUUCAAUACAGCAUUGUGCUUAGGCCUCUAUUGGAUAUUCGA